UACUGCUUAACAUCGCCUCCACCAUCUGCGUUUACAUGGCCGUUGUCGUCUGACAUUUAUAUUGUACAUUCCUCCUCGCCUUGCAGUCAUCAUCAAUGGAACUUCCUCAGUACCACCGGCUGCUAAAAACAGAACUGAUUAAAGAGGAGGGGGCAUCGUCGCAAACCAUGGUUUUGAGUCCGCACACGUUCCCUCAUGAUGGUGAUGUGUUAGGGGGUGGGUGUUAACGUGCAUUAAUCAACAUUUCAAAUUUCCGAAGCUUUCUUUCGACAAAAAGAAUCAAGAAAUGUGUUCCUUCAACCCCAGAACAAUCAACACUUGGACCCUUUUCUUCAAUAUUUGAACCGAGGAUAAUGGCUCUACAUUUGUACAUAUCCGUGAAAUCAAAACAUAUCAAUCUGAUUAGUGCCUUUUGCUAUAUAUAUAAUUAAUGCAAUGGAAAUAAAAACACAUAAAAUCAAACUUCAUUUCAUUCCAUACUGUGUCAUCAGGUUAAUGGAAAAAGAAAGAAUAUAUCAAAAAGAUACUGGUGGAAAUCUAAAUGGUUCAACCCCCUCCACUCCCCUUUCCACUUUCCGACGCCCCCGUAAUUACAUAUGUUGGAGAGCACGUGCAUUAACUCAAAUCUUUGUAAAACUUUUACAUAUCAAACUGAUGAAUAGUCAAUGUACAUUGAGUGCCUCACGGACACGUACAAUGCAUGCAUGUCCUCCUCCGCCGAUAUGUCGUUUAUGUAACCUUUGUUUUCCCAUCUAUUCUUUUCUAAAGCUUGACUCAUCUUUAACUUCCCGUUUCUGCAAAAUCAACUUGAAUUUGGUCACAGUUGAUAAGAGCACCCAGGAAGGAAUUGAUAUCGGAUAUUUAAGGAAAGUCCGUGCUUUUACGUAUCCGGUUUUAAAUUUUAAACACCGACUAGAAAGUUCCAUUUAUAACUUCUUUGUCUGAUGUUUGUAGUUUACGAGAACUGUACGAGUCAAAUUUAGCAUUCAAAUGUGAAUCGUAGAUAUAUGAAUUAUUAUAGUAUCAAGUCCUCACUAGCUCCAAUGGUACAAAGCAAUGUAAUAUCUACAUUGAUCUCUAAAAGGCUCAUAGCUUGCAAUCUAAGCCUGAACAAGUUAAAAAUCAUACAAAGGCGUGACCCUCACAGUGGAAUUCAAACUGGUUUUAGUGAGUUUGUGUUUGGUUCAAAGAAACCCAGAAUUAUAAAUCCUCAGAAAAUCAUCAACAAAGUUGUUGAAUAUUUGAACUCUUCUUCACAAGUACUUUCAAGAAACAAAAUUAUUUGUACAUGAGCUGUAGUUGCUAGAAUCUACACAUAUGUUACACUAUAUUUAUUUUUUCUAUAAGUAUGAGAUAGCAUGUAGGUAUUUUUAUGUAUGAUAUGAUUGAUAGCCAAACACAAAAAGAAUAACACACACACCAAAAAAUUUGUGAGAAAAGGAAGGGGUAGAGGAGCCCCCCCCCCCCCCCCCUUGUGUUCCAAUUGUCUGGUAGGACAACAUUUUCAGUAUGUUUUACAUAUAUAUAUAUUGUCAUAUUCUGUUAAUCUUGAUUUUAAGACUGUAUUUGCUGUUACAAUUUACUCUUUUCAAAGUGUGCAAAGAAUAAUUGUAAAACUUAAAUUUAAAAAUGGGGGUUUACGUAUUCAAGAGACCAUUUUGCAAAAUAUCUCUGGUCAACUAUGGUAAAAUAUGUUGUUGUUUUUUUUUUGUUAACCUUAGAUAUAAUUCUAAAUAUUUUUAAAGAAAAACUGGCAUGUAAACAAUUUAGAUUUUGAGAAUUUUUCAAAAUUGCGAUAUUCUGUGAUUUUUUUCUGAAGGAUGUGAGCAGAUUAAACAGCAAUUGUGUAUGUUUUAAAUUGAAUAUCUUUAAAAAUUCUCUCGGUAAAUGAAUAGCUAUUGGUUUUUAUAUAUUAUAGCUUAAUAUGAUGUGCUUUGGUGCAUAUUUUUAGUAAAACAUGAGAUCAUGCA